rnacentral:lncRNA from 1 species
GGGGUCCUAUGAUUGACAGAAGUUUGGAGGAAAAAUAAGUAUAUGGUGGACAUGAAAUGAAAUGGCAGAAUACAGAAAUGGUUGUAGGAAUGUUGAGGUAGAGUUGAGUAAAGUGAUGGUGUGGGUGGAGUGCAUCCAAAAGAAAAGGACAAGUUGAUAUAAUAGGGUUCUGAAAAAGGAAGCCAUGUAUAUAAGAGUCAGAUGAAUCCAGCACUGCAUAAAAAAAAAUAUUAAUGAACUAAGUUUGAGGGUUCAGACCCUGACUUAUUGGUUUCACGAGUUUGGUUAGACAAUUGGUAGAGGACUCUAACUCCUUUUGGAAGGACCCCAUCUUGACUCAGCUUGAUGGAACAUCUUAUGCCUUCUCUUAUCUUUUUCUUUUUUUAUACUUUCUAGGGUAUUUGUUCUGUCUUCUUAUUCUUUUUCUUCUCUCUCUCUCUCUCUCUCUUUGGUUUCUCCUAUGAAAAGAUUGGUGGGAUAUUUGUGGCUCAUCUCAACUCCAGUUUCCCCUUCUCCUUCUAUCCUUUAUUUUUAUGCUUUCUCUAUCUUUUCCUUUUUCACAUCUCUUCUUUCCCAUUCAAAGCAUCUAUGUAGAACUUCCACCAUAAUAUUGUAUCUUUAACUCAU